GACGAACGCUGGCGGCGUGCUUAACACAUGCCAGUCGAACGGAAAGGCCCUGCUUGCAGGGUACUCGAGUGGCGAACGGGUGAGUAACACGUGGGUGUUCUGCCCUGCACUUCGGGAUAAGCCUGGGAAACUGGGUCUAAUACCGGAUAGGAGCCCUUUUUCGUGUUAUGGUUGGAAAGUUUUUUCGGUGUAGGAUGAGCUCGCGGCCUAUCAGCUUGUUGGUGGGGUAAUGGCCUACCAAGGCGGCGACGGGUAGCCGGCCUGAGAGGGUGGACGGCCACAUUGGGACUGAGAUACGGCCCAGAAUCCUACGGGAGGCAGCAGUGGGGAAUAUUGCACAAUGGGCGCAAGCCUGAUGCAGCGACGCCGCGUGGGGGAUGACGGGCUUCGGGUUGGAAACUCCUUUCGCUAGGGACGAAGCUUUUUGUGACGGUACCUAGAAAAGAAGCACCGGCUAACUACGUG
rnacentral:rRNA from 1 species